rnacentral:rRNA from 1 species
AGGACGAACGCUGGCGGCGUGCUUAACACAUGCAAGUCGAGCGGUAAGGCCUUUCGGGGUACACGAGCGGCGAACGGGUGAGUAACACGUGGGUGAUCUGCCCUGCACUCUGGGAUAAGCCUGGGAAACUGGGUCUAAUACCGGAUAUGACCUGCUCUCGCAGUGGGGGUGGUGGAAAGAUUUAGUCGGUGCAGGAUGGGCCCGCGGCCUAUCAGCUUGGUUGGUGGGUAAUGGCCUACGAAGGCGACGACGGGUAGCCGACUGAGAGGGUCGACCGGCCACGACGUGGGACUGA